GACGAACGCUGGCGGCGUGCUUAACACAUGCAAGUCGAACGGAAAGGCCCUGCUUUUGUGGUGUGCUCGAGUGGCGAACGGGUGAGUAACACGUGAGUAACCUGCCCUUGACUUUGGGAUAACUUCAGGAAACUGGGGCUACUACCGGAUAGGAUCUCCUGCUGCAUGGUGGGGGUUGGAAAGUUUCGGCGGUUGGGGAUGGACUCGCGGCUUAUCAGCUUGUUGGUGGGGUAGUGGCUUACCAAGGCUUUGACGGGUAGCCGGCCUGAGAGGGUGACCGGCCACAUUGGGACUGAGAGACGGACCAGACUCGUACGGGAGGCAGCAGUGGGGAAUAUGGCACAAUGGGCGGAAGCCUGAGGCAGCAACGCCGCGUGCGGGAUGACGGCCUGCGGGGUGUAAACCGCUGUCGCCUGUGACGAAGCGGGAGUGACGGUAAUGGGUAAAGAAGCACCGGCUAACUACGUG
rnacentral:rRNA from 1 species